rnacentral:snRNA from 1 species
GUGCUNGCUUUGGCANCACAUAUACUAAAACUGGAAAGAUACNGAGAAGAUUAGUGUGACCCCUGAACAAGGAUGACAUGCAAAUUCNUGAAGCAUUUCAUAUUUUU